rnacentral:piRNA from 1 species
UACAGUUCACUCAUGGAGAAAGAAAC